rnacentral:sRNA from 1 species
UAUUCUGCCCUACAGGGAAGGAUGAGAAGCUUCGACUAAGGUUCGACUCGAGCGAAGCGAGAGAACGUUGCCGCAGGCAACGGCCCGAAGGGCGAGGCGCUUUAGCGCCGAGUAAUCCUUCCCCCACCA